CAGAGAAAGUGAACUUUCCUUACAGAGAUCACCAGUAAAAAGUCACAUGACAGAAGUGUAUCCAGAAAGCAGGAUUUGAGGAGGUCAGCUUUACUCCUUAACUGUUGACUUCCAUGAGCUGUGAAGCAAGACUUGCUCAGCCUGUGAGCAGCAGCACAGAAGAGUCAGAGAUGAACCUGCCACCAGGAAAGCCAUCAGAAGGCUUCGUGUGUGGAUCCAUGCGUAUCUGUCUCAAAGUGUCUCCUGAGACUCCUUGUGUCGGGAUGGGCUGCCUGCCCCAAUUCUGUGAUAGGAUGGGAAGAGAACAGCAAGAAAAGCACACGGGUGAAAAACGUGUUCUUGUGAACAGCUAGAAGGCGAACCGCUUCCCAACAUAGGUGCUGAUGUUUCUCCAGUGAUAUAAAAAUGCCCACCGUGGCAGUGGGAAGUCAGGAGCUUGUCUAUGUAUAGUACACACUGCUCCAUUCUUCCCACAGCACUCGAAUGGUCGCUCCAGCCGACUGCCCCAGCGCUUCCUCACCCAGCUUCUGUGUGACUGUUUGCAAGCUCCGAGUUGAUGGUGUUACGUUUUGUUUGCUCUCAGCCGGGCUACUCCUACAGUCUCUGCUGGAUGUUGUGAGUGCCGGAUUUGAUGAUGCUUUGCUGUCUACCAUUGCUUCUCUCUAACUGCUAUUUAUUCUUUUCCUUUACUCGCAAAAUACUUAAUAAACCCAGUCAUCCAAAACUGAAAGCACAGUGUAGUAGAUCAUUCUCUGGGCCACACAGAGCACCACAGAUGUAGACUGUAUGUGGCAAACAGAGAGCAAGUAGCACACUCUUUCUUUCCCUUUGGCAAGGAUUCUUCAUGCUGACUACUAAGUUCUUUAUCAGUCCAUAGUCACUAAGGAAACUUUGAGGGUCUUACCCAUCUUUAGGUAAACACCCACAUGACAUGCGUGUUCCUUCAUUACGAUAUCUUGCAAUUAGACUAGGAAUGGGACCAAAUUCGGCACUCACAAAUGAUCUCCUCAUUAGGCAUUUAUAAAUGGGAUGCUGUGUCUAAUACGCAUUGGAUGGCAAAUUCCCUGUGAGGUAGGAUGAGAGAUUUAUAGACAUGAGAAAGAAAAAAAAGCUCCUCACUCCACAGUCUUGCUGGACCCUCUCAUCUGAGAAGCAGUUGACAUCUCUCCCUUCCCCACUGCAGACAUCUCACCAGGAACCCCAUUUCUAGUAAAAGUCAAGUCCUGAACCCCAGUGCAUCUCCAGUGCCUUCUGGUUUUGCUUUAUCAGAUUGUAAUUCCACCCAAGGAUUCUUCAGAGGCGUGACCUAUCGAGAGAGGGAGCGUGGACCUGCACUCGUUUCUACCUGUCCCCCAGUUCCCAAAUAAUGACUCUGAGACUCAGCUAUCUAAGAAUAAAUGCCCAGGCUGUGGGCUUGGACUUGUUCCCACUCGCUCAGAGCUCAAUUAUCCCAUUCAAACUCGUCUAAGUUCUGCCACAGGGCUGGUUACCUCUCCUCAGUUUCAGGCAUCGGCUUCUUAGAGUUCAGGUGGCAAAUCUUCCUUACCUGACUUAACCUCCAGAGUUUCUCUCUCUGCCAGACCUUUUGCUAAUAGGCCACCAGCUUUUUAUUGACAGCUGAUGGUUCCAUCCAGUACACGAGAGGCUCUCCCUAUAGGAGCGGGCUUCUUAGCAAGCUUCUAGUGUGUGAAGACAGCUACCAAAUGACGUGUGUUAAUUGCUAGGACUUAACUGUGGCUGACUCUUAGAGAUGCUCACCCCUGUACAUUAUAUUUUCCUUUACUUCCCAAGUAACUCUCUCUUUUACCCACCCCCCGUACUUAAAAUCUGUUUCAAAUCUCUUUUAAUGAACCCAACUCUGCUUUAUACCAAAAUUUUUUUUUCUGAAAUUAUUUCUGAAAUUCUUUUCUGUGUUAAAGCUAAAGACCCUGCAUUGACUUGAGUGGGGUUCUCUGAGAAAAGAAAAGGAAAAAAAUCUCAAUUUUUCCUCCCAAGAGACAUUGAGGACUUAUGUUCCUAUCCCUGCAGUGGGUGACGCAUGGACCUCAUACAUAGCUGAGAUGGGAGUUAUUCGUCCAGUCAUUGCUGAUGCACCAUUUAAUUCA
rnacentral:lncRNA from 1 species